GAUGAACGCUGGCGGCGUGCUUAACACAUGCAAGUCGAACGGGAAACUUUUCAUUGAAGCUUCGGCAGAUUUGGUCUGUUUCUAGUGGCGGACGGGUGAGUAACGCGUGGGUAACCUACUUAUACAGGGGAGUAACAACCAGAAAUAGGCUGCUAAUAACCGCACAAGACGCACAGGACCGGCAUGGCCCGGUCGUGAAAACUACCGGUGGUAUAAGAUGGACCCGCGUUGGAUUAGCUAGUUGGCAGGGUAACGGCC
rnacentral:rRNA from 1 species